rnacentral:rRNA from 1 species
AACGAACGCUGGCGGCAUGCUUAACACAUGCAAGUCGAACGUGAAAGUGGACUUCGGUCCGCGAGUAAAGUGGCGCACGGGUGAGUAACACGUGGAUAAUCUACCCGAUGAUCUGGAAUAACACUUCGAAAGGGGUGCUAAUACCGGAUAAGCCCACGACGUCCUCGGACGGCGCGGGAAAAGGGGCGUUCGGCUCCUGUCAUCGGAUGAGUCCGCGGCCCAUUAGCUAGUUGGUAGGGUAAUGGCCUACCAAGGCGACGAUGGGUAGCUGGUCUGAGAGGAUGAUCCGCCACACUGGCACUGGAACACGGGCCAGACUCCUACGGGUGGCUG